AUACGGAGGGUGCAAGCGUUAUCCGGAAUCAUUGGGUUUAAAGGGUCCGUAGGCGGAUUGGUAAGUCAGUGGUGAAAGUCUGCAGCUUAACUGUAGAAUUGCCAUUGAUACUGCUAGUCUUGAAUUACUGUGAAGUGAUUAGAAUGUGUAGUGUAGCGGUGAAAUGCAUAGAUAUUACACAGAAUACCAAUUGCGAAGGCAGAUCACUAACAGUAUAUUGACGCUGAGGGACGAAAGCGUGGGGAGCAAACAGGAUUAGAUACCCUAGUAGUCC
rnacentral:rRNA from 1 species